rnacentral:rRNA from 1 species
AUUGAACGCUGGCGGCAGGCCUAACACAUGCAAGUCGAACGAGUGGCGGACGGGUGAGUAAUGUCUGGGAAACUGCCUGAUGGAUGGGGAUAACUACUGGAACCGGUAGUUAAUCCCGCAUAUCAUCGGAUGUGCCCAGAUGGGAUUAGCUAGUAGGUGGGGUAACGGCUCACCUAGGCGACGAUCCCUAGCUGGUCUGAGAGGAUGACCAGCCACACUGGAACUGAGAGACGGGCCAGACGCCUACGGGAGGCAGCAGUGGGAAAUAGUGGACAAAGGGCGCAAGCCGGAAACAGCCAUGCCGCGUGUGUGAAGAGGGCCUUCGGGUUGUAAAGUACUUUCAGCGGGGAGGCGUUAGCCGCAGAAGAAGCACCGGCUAACUCCGUGCCAGCAGCCGCGGUAAUUC